rnacentral:rRNA from 1 species
AACGUAGGACACAAGCGUUAUCCGGAGUUACUGGGCGUAAAGGGCGUGUAGGCGGAUCGGUAAGUCUACUCUGAAAGCUCCUGGCUAAACUGGGAGAGGCGAGUGGAGACUGUCGGUCUAGAGUGAGGAAGAGGAAAAGUGGAAUUCCGCGUGUAGUGGUGAAAUGCGUAGAGAUGCGGAGGAACACCAGUGGCGGAAAGCGGACU